GUGGGGAAUCUUGCGCAAUGGGCGAAAGCCUGACGCAGCCAUGCCGCGUGAAUGAUGAAGGUCUUAGGAUUGUAAAAUUCUUUCACCGGGGACGAUAAUGACGGUACCCGGAGAAGAAGCCCCGGCUAACUUCGUGCCAGCAGUCGCGGUAAUACGAAGGGGGCUAGCGUUGCUCGGAAUUACUGGGCGUAAAGGGCGCGUAGGCGGACAGUUUAGUCAGAGGUGAAAGCCCAGGGCUCAACCUUGGAAUUGCCUUUGAUACUGGCUGUCUUGAGUACGGGAGAGGUGAGUGGAACUCCGAGUGUAGAGGUGAAAUUCGUAGAUAUUCGGAAGAACACCAGUGGCGAAGGCGACUCACUGGCCCGUUACUGACGCUGAGGCGCGAAAGCGUGGGGAGCAAACAGGAUUAGAUACCCGUGUAGUCC
rnacentral:rRNA from 1 species